GAAAUGUUGGACCACAGUCAUAUCACAGUGUGGAAAGAGUUCUUUCAUGAAGUGAACCACACUGAAGAUAAUGGAGGGAACACCUAAAGCUCACAGAUCCUGCCUGCACACUGCCCAUAUAAAACAAAAUGGAGGCUCAAAGUAUGACAGUGGAUGAAUGGAGGAGAAUGAGUGAAAAAAAAGGUAAUCUUGUCUCUCUGCUGGGAUAUCCCCACCUGUGACAGUGUCAAGCAGCUCCUGACUGUGCCUGGCUGUGUGUGUGAUGAGGAAGAUGUCUCCAUACCUUCCAUCUUCAUGCUCUCAUCACUCUGAGGUGAACUGAGGUGGUCACCAAUGCCUGGCUCCUCCCAGAAGAUCCUGGUCUGCAAUCAAAAAGCUCAACAUAUGCUGACACUGUAU